rnacentral:lncRNA from 1 species
AACACUUGUACAAUUUUGUCUAAUUAGAGAAACCAAAGAGAAUGACAUAGUUUGCUUUCUUUCUAGAUUACUCACCCUUAGUCUCUCUCUACAAUGCAAAGGCUUUUAUAGAGGAGCCUUCUCAAUUGAAUUUUGAAUUCAAACCUUUGAAUUCAAAAUAGGAGCUUGAGUAAUGGUUAUGCAACUUGUCACAACCACCC